rnacentral:rRNA from 1 species
UACGGAGGGGGCUAGCGUUGUUCGGAAUUACUGGGCGUAAAGCGCACGUAGGCGGCUUUUUAAGUCAGAGGUGAAAGCCCGGAGCUCAACUCCGGAAUUGCCUUUGAGACUGGAUCGUCUUGAACGUCGGAGAGGUGAGUGGAAUUCCGAGUGUAGAGGUAGAAAUUCGUAGAUAUUCGGAAGAACACCAGUGGCGAAGGCGGCUCACUGGACGACUGUUGACGCUGAGGAGGCGAAAGCGGUGGGGAGCGAACAGG